GACGUAGGAGGCGAGCGUUGUCCGGAGUUACUGGGCGUAAAGCGCGCGCAGGCGGCCCUGUGCGCUGCCGGUGAAAGCUCCCGGCUUACCUGGGAGAGGUUCGGCAGGACGGCAGGGCUGGAGGGUGGGAGAGGUCGGUGGAAUUCCCGGUGUAGCAGUGAAAUGCGUAGAGAUCGGGAGGAACACCAGUGGCGAAGGCGGCCUUCUGGACCAAUACUGACGCUCAUGCACGAAAGCGUGGGGAGCAAACAGG
rnacentral:rRNA from 1 species